CGGCCCGAGCGGAGAAACGGGCGGCGACGCCGCCUCGCAAGGGGAGGUCCUGCCGCAGGAGUGCCUAGCGGGUGUCGUUCCCCCCCCCCCCAAAUUAAUGCGGGCUACGAGAAAAACACAUAGGCCGGGAGGCCGAGGGACACCGUAAAAAUCAGCCCUGAGUCCAGGGAGUUCAUGACAGCUGCCUUCAUAAGAGAUACCCUAGUAAGGAUGACAGAUUAUGAAGCCUACAAAGUUAGAGAUGGUCAGCAAGUGAAGGCAUCGUUGAUAGAAUAGAAGCUGUUUUUGUAAAUACCAAUACCAG
rnacentral:lncRNA from 1 species